UUACGACCAUAACACGUUGAAACACCGAUUCCCGUACUAUCACCGAAGAUAAACAACGUCGUGCUUGAUCAGUAUCUAGAUGAGUGACCGCUUGAGAAUACGAGAUGCGGUAA